rnacentral:rRNA from 1 species
GAUGAACGCUGGCGGCGUGCCUAAUACAUGCAAGUCGAACGCAAAACCUUCGGGUUUUGAGUGGCGGACGGGUGAGUAACACGUGGGUGACCUGCCCAUCAGCCUGGGAUAACCACCGGAAACGGUGGCUAAUACCGGAUAUGUCUACGGAUGAAAGUCGGAUUUAUCUGACACUGAUGGAUGGACCUGCGGCGCAUUAGCUAGUUGGUGGGAUAGUAGCUCACCAAGGCGACGAUGCGUAGCCGACCUGAGAGGGUGAUCGGCCACACUGGGACUGAGACACGGCCCAGACUCCUACGGGAGGCAGCAGUAGGGAAUCUUCCGCAAUGGACGCAAGUCUGACGGAGCAACGCCGCGUGAGUGAAGAAGGUUUUCGGAUCGUAAAGCUCUGUUGUUAAGGAAGAAUGUUUAUGGCAGUAACUGGCCAUGAA